rnacentral:rRNA from 1 species
AUUCCAGCUCCAAUAGCGUAUAUUAAAGUUGUUGCAGUUAAAACGCUCGUAGUCGGAUUUCGGGGCGGGCCGACCGGUCUGCCGAUGGGUAUGCACUGGCCGGCGCGUCCUUCCACCCGGAGACCGCGGCUACUCUUAACUGAGCGGGCGCGGGAGACGGGUCUUUUACUUUGAAAAAAUCAGAGUGUUUCAAGCAGGCAGUCGCUCUUGCAUGGAUUAGCAUGGGAUAAUGAAAUAGGACUCUGGUGCUAUUUUGUUGGUUUCGAACACCGGAGUAAUGAUUAACAGGGACAGUCAGGGGCACUCGUAUUCCGCCGAGAGAGGUGAAAUUCUCAGACCAGCGGAAGACGAACCACUGCGAAAGCAUUUGCCAGGGAUGUUUUCAUUA